UGUUACCAUAAUAACUAACUGUAAUUAAUUUGUGUAUUUUUUAUUUUCCACUAUUUUGUUACUGUAUAGGAUAUACUAGUGAUAAUGAUUGGUCUACUAGUGUAAUACCUCUGGACCAGUAUCAAGAUCAACUAAGAAGAAGGAUACUGAGUGAUUGGGAGAGUUUUGAGAAACAGAUUGAAAUAUUUCAAGAUUGCCUACAAUUACAAAAAGAGAAGGAAUUCUGCUAUCAGGAACAGCUUCAAAGAGAAAUAAAAGAGAAGGAGCAGAUACAGCAAGAUCAAGACAAAGAGCAGCAACAGCUUCUUCGAGAAAAGGCAGCACUUAGUCAGCAACUUGAUGAUGCUACCACUCUCCUUGAGCAAGCAGAAAAUGAUAAAUCAACUCUUGAAUUAGAAUAUUAUGAAAAGCUUAAAGCUAAGGAUGCUGAAAUAUUGGAAAUAAAGACACAAGUAGAGGAGAAGAAACAGAUUAUUACUGAAGAUUAUGAGAAACUGAAACUCAAAGUAGCUGAUAUGGA